AGGGACGUGCUGGGCUGUAGAGCUUGGCUGGGGUCCCCACCUGGCCCAUGAGGGUCCUCAGGCUGUCUAUGCCCACACACCUCACAGUCUGCUCCCUCCUCAGCUCGUGUUCCUAGGACUCUGGGCAGCAGAAGAGAUGAGCUCCUCGCUGCUGCUGACCUGCGAUUCUCAGGCCAGCUUGGUGGUUGACGUCUAUGGCCAGAACCAGGCAGUCAGCUACACUACUCCAAGGGUGAGGUUCAGAGCACGUUUGCCUUGGGCGUGGAGGAGCAUCAUUUUCACAUCAGCACCCAUCUGGCAGCUGCUAAGGCCAGUCUCACCAACUUCAUGAAGCUGGAACAUUCCUUCCUGCAGGUGCUGGUCUCCUCCUCCCUAUGGCUGGGGAAAAGUGACCUGGCUGCCCACCUGGCCCUGGCUCACCCAUUCAAUGCCUCCUGGCAGCAAGCUGAGGCAAGUGGCCUUGCUGAGAGCAGGUGUGGCAGGCAGAACUGGCAGGUACAGCUCACCUGGAACAGAGGACAGCCUGUGACUCUGCAACUCGCCUGGGCAGACAGGUUCUCAGCACACAGCACCACCUGGGAUGGCUGCCUGGCUGCCUCCCCGGGGCAGGUUUGUGGAGUCUGGCCGCUGUGCCCAGUGUGGGGCUCCCCUUUGCUACAGGCUUCUUGGCUGCC